rnacentral:rRNA from 1 species
GUUGAGGAAGAUAAUGACGGUACUCAACAAGGAAGUGACGGCUAACUACGUGCCAGCAGCCGCGGUAAAACGUAGGUCACAAGCGUUGUCCGGAAUUACUGGGUGUAAAGGGAGCGCAGGCGGGAGAACAAGUUGGAAGUGAAAUCCAUGGGCUCAACCCAUGAACUGCUUUCAAAACUGUUUUUCUUGAGUAGUGCAGAGGUAGGCGGAAUUCCCGGUGUAGCGGUGGAAUGCGUAGAUAUCGGGAGGAACACCAGUGGCGAAGGCGGCCUACUGGGCACCAACUGACGCUGAGGCUCGAAAGUGUGGGUAGCAAACAGGAUUAGAUACCCUGGUAGUCCACACCGUAAACGAUGAUUACUAGGUGUUGGAGGAUUGACCCCUUCAGUGCCGCAGUUAACACAAUAAGUAAUCCACCUGGGGAGUACGACCGCAAGGUUGAAACUCAAAGGAAUUGACGGGGGCCCGCACAAGCAGUGGAGUAUGUGGUUUAAUUCGACGCAACGCGAAGAACCUUACCAAGUCUUGACAUCCCUUGACGAACAUAGAAAUAUGUUUUCUCUUCGGAGCAAGGAGACAGGUGGUGCAUGGUUGUCGUCAGCUCGUGUCGUGAGAUGUUGGGUUAAGUCCCGCAACGAGCGCAACCCUUAUGGUCAGUUACUACGCAAGAGGACUCUGGCCAGACUGCG